UAAGACCGUCGAAGCCGUUCCGGACCUUCGGGAAGGAAGUAGGUGGAGCCGGUGACCGAGUCUGGUAGUAGGUGAGUGAUGGGUGACGCAGGAAGGUAGUCCAGCCCGGGCGGUGGUUGUCCCGGGGUAACGGGUGUAGGCCGUGCGGUAGGUAAAUCCGUCGCACACAAGGCUGAGACCUGAUGCCGAGCCGAUUGUGGUGAAGUGGAUGAUCCUAUGCUGUCGAGAAAAGCCUCUAGCGAGUUUCAUGGCGGCCCGUACCCUAAACCGACUCAGGUGGUCAGGUAGAGAAUACCGAGGCGUUCGGGUGAACUAUGGUUAAGGAACUCGGCAAAAUGCCCCCGUAACUUCGGGAGAAGGGGGGCCACAUCUGGUGAUGAGCUUUGCGCUCUGAGCUGGGGGUGGCCGCAGAGACCAGCGAGAAGCGACU
rnacentral:ncRNA from 1 species